CCUACGGGAGGCAGCAGUGAGGAAUAUUGGUCAAUGGGCGCGAGCCUGAACCAGCCAAGUAGCGUGAAGGAUGACUGCCCUACGGGUUGUAAACUUCUUUUAUAAAGGAAUAAAGUGAGGCACGUGUGCCUUUUUGUAUGUACUUUAUGAAUAAGGAUCGGCUAACUCCGUGCCAGCAGCCGCGGUAAUACGGAGGAUCCGAGCGUUAUCCGGAUUUAUUGGGUUUAAAGGGAGCGUAGGUGGGUUGUUAAGUCAGUGGUGAAAGUUUGCGGCUCAACCGUAAAAUUGCAUUUGAAACUGGCAGCCUUGAGUACGCGUGAGGUAGGCGGAAUUCGUGGUGUAGCGGUGAAAUGCUUAGAUAUCACGAAGAACUCCGAUUGCGAAGGCAGCAUACUAAACUGCCACUGACACUGAUGCUCGAAAGUGUGGGUAUCAAACAGGAUUAGAUACCCGAGUAGUC
rnacentral:rRNA from 1 species